AGAUGGAUGAGGACUGGAGCUUACCUGCUUACAUGGCAGGUACAUGUAACCUGAGGUGUAUUAUAAGGCAUAUAGUAUUACCUCAAUUUUCCCAGACCUGGCAAAGCAUUUCCACGACUGGUCCUGCAAUAACUGAAUCUGGCCACAGACUUGGAUUUGGAGCUAUUUCUGUGCAGCAAAGUAGUUUCAGCCUUUCUUCUCCAUUUCUUAAGUUCCUAACUCUUCACCCACUAAUUUUGUUGCCUAAAGAUGCAUGAGGUGACUGACCACCCAUUAUGAUGCGUUCUGGUCUUUCAUCAGGAAAUGAUUUUCAUUCAUUGGUCUGACUUUAUAGUUUCUGUCUGGUCAUUUAACUAAAAUAACCAUUCAUACUAUCACACUGCUAAUGGAAGCAUGUCUAAAUGUAUUAGCACAAUAAAUGCAGUUCAGUAGGUCAUUUCUGGUUUUGGGCAUCUAAGUCUGAACUGAUCUGCUUUGGUAUUAGCCAAUCUUAUGAUUCAUCUUCACCAAGAUAACAAAAACAGGCUAGAGCCUUUCAAACCCAGCAUUUACAUUCUGCUCCCAGAUGCUUUUCUUUUUCUUCUGGCAUGAGUCAUUGUGGAGUAUCAGUUUGGUGUGGCUUACCUUGCUUUUUACUGACAUCUGCCCUGAAUGGCACAAAACCAUGAGAGGUCACUUGUCAAGAUUUAAAAAAAAAUACAGAAAUGCUUCUUUAUUUACAGACAUAUUUAGAAGUAGUUAAUCAGCUACGAGCACCACUAUACCAACAUACCUGACACAAUUCCUUUUGGUAGAGAAACCUGUUCUUGCAGGUUUGUAUCUGAUUUUGAAACAAACAAACAAGCAAAUACACUUACUGGUAUAAAAGCAUGCUGGACAAGACUUUGGGCAUGCUAACACAUGUUAGAAGGAAUUCUACUGACAAGUGCACCAAAGCCAGUGAGAAUUGCUAAUUAGAACUUUUCAGGGCAGACAAAAGAAUCAGCAAGAUAUUACAUGAAAAUCAUAAACCAAAUAUAAAUUUAAAAGUAAAAUAUGUGGAAAAAAAGACCAAAAGAGUCAAUCUUUUCUUUCACUACAUUAUGUUAACUACUGCUUGCAAUUGUUAUAAAUGUCACUUGCAGGCUUCCAGCUGUUCUGGAAUAGGUUUGUUUUUAAAGCACUGACUGAAUAGAAUAAUUGUUCUGUAAUGUUGAACAGUAUGGUGUGUUUGGUUUGCUUCUGGUUUUUAACGUAUUUCACUGAAUAAUCAAAUCGUGUUCAUGCCUCAGAUGCAUACAAUGUGAUAGGAAAUACUCCCUUUAGAUAUCUAAAGGCUUCAUAAUCACUUAAGUGAUUUCUUUAAACUGUAUGUUUCCAUUGUGCAGGAUAUAUAUGCCUAUGCCUCUGAUUAAGUUAAACCACUCAUGAUUCAAGACUUCUGUGGGUUUUGUUCAACAGUUGGAUUUCUAGUAAAAGAAAAAUUCACUUUCUAUG
rnacentral:lncRNA from 1 species